AAUGAACGCUGGCGGCGCGCCUAAUACAUGCAAGUCGAGCGAGAAGACGUAGCAAUACGUUUGUAAAGCGGCGAACGGGUGAGGAAUACAUGGGUAACCUACCCUCGAGUGGGGAAUAACUAGCCGAAAGGUUAGCUAAUACCGCGUACGCUUCUUGGACUUCGGUUCAGGGAGGAAAGCGAUGCCGAGGGUAUCGCGCUCUUGGAUGGGCUCAUGUCCUAUCAGCUUGUUGGGAGGUAACGGCUCACCAAGGCUUCGACGGGUAGCUGGUCUGAGAGGACGAUCAGCCACACUGGCACUGCGACACGGGCCAGACUCCUACGGGAGGCAGCAGUAAGGAAUAUUGCGCAAUGGGGCGAAAGCCUGACGCAGCGACGCCGCGUGGGGGAGUGAAGGUCGUUCGG
rnacentral:rRNA from 1 species